GCGUCGGUGGUAGAGUGGUCAAUUACACCGCGCUGUAGACGCGGCGGCUUCGGCCUUCGGGGGUUCGAAUCCCUCCCGGCGCA
rnacentral:tRNA from 1 species